UGCCAGACUCCUACGGGAGGCAGCAGUAAGGGAUAUUGGUCAAUGGGGGAAACCCUGAACCAGCAACGCCGCGUGAGGGAAGACGGUUUUCGGAUUGUAAACCUCUGUCCUCUGUGAAGAUGAUGACGGUAGCAGAGGAGGAAGCUCCGGCUAACUACGUGCCAGCAGCCGCGGUAAUACGUAGGGGGCAAGCGUUAUCCGGAUUUACUGGGUGUAAAGGGGGCGCAGACGGCAGCGCAAGCCAGGAGUGAAAGCCCGGGGCCCAACCCCGGGACUGCUCUUGGAACUGCGCGGCUGGAGUGCAGGAGGGGCAGGCGGAAUUCCUGGUGUAGCGGUGAAAUGCGUAGAUAUCAGGAGGAACACCAGUGGCGAAGGCGGCUUACUGGACUGUAACUGACGUUGAGGCUCGAAAGCGUGGGGAGCAAACAGGAUUAGAUACCCCCGUA
rnacentral:rRNA from 1 species